rnacentral:rRNA from 1 species
AAUCAACGCUGGCGGCGUGCCUCAGACAUGCAAGUCGAACGAUUAAACUUUCCUUCGGGAAAGAUAUAAAGUGGCGCACGGGUGAGUAACACGUAAGUAAUCUACCUUUGAGUGGGGAAUAACAUCGGGAAACCGAUGCUAAUACCGCAUAAUGCAGCGGCAUCGCAAGAUGACAGUUGUUAAAGAUUUAUCGCUUAAAGAGGAGCUUGCGGCAGAUUAGCAGUUGGUAAGGUAAUGGCUUACCAAGGCUACGAUCUGUAACCGGUCUAAGAGGACGGUCGGUCACACUGACACUGAAUAACGGGUCAGACUCCUACGGGAGGCAGCAGUCGGGAAUUUUGGGCAAUGGGCGAAAGCCUGACCCAGC